rnacentral:rRNA from 1 species
CCUACGGGUGGCAGCAGUGAGGAAUAUUGGUCAAUGGACGAGAGUCUGAACCAGCCAAGUAGCGUGAAGGAUGACUGCCCUAUGGGUUGUAAACUUCUUUUAUAUGGGAAUAAAAUGUUCCACGUGUGGGAUUUUGUAUGUACCAUAUGAAUAAGGAUCGGCUAACUCCGUGCCAGCAGCCGCGGUAAUACGGAGGAUCCGAGCGUUAUCCGGAUUUAUUGGGUUUAAAGGGAGCGUAGGUGGAUUGUUAAGUCAGUUGUGAAAGUUUGCGGCUCAACCGUAAAAUUGCAGUUGAAACUGGCAGUCUUGAGUACAGUAGAGGUGGGCGGAAUUCGUGGUGUAGCGGUGAAAUGCUUGGAUAUCACGAAGAACUCCGAUUGCGAAGGCAGCUCACUGGACUGCAACUGACGCUGAGGAGCGAAAGCGUGGGUAGCAAACAGGAUUAGAUACCCCAGUAGUC